rnacentral:rRNA from 1 species
UUUUAUGAGAGUUUGAUCCUGGCUCAGGACGAACGCUGGCGGCGUGCCUAAUACAUGCAAGUCGUACGCUUCUUUUUCCACCGGAAAAAGAGGAGUGGCGAACGGGUGAGUAACACGUGGGUAACCUGCCCAUCAGAAGGGGAUAACACUUGGAAACAGGUGCUAAUACCGUAUAACAAUCGAAACCGCAUGGUUUUGAUUUG